rnacentral:rRNA from 1 species
UACGAAGGGGGCUAGCGUUGUUCGGAAUCACUGGGCGUAAAGGGCGCGUAGGCGGCUUUAUAAGUCGGGGGUGAAAGCCUGUGGCUCAACCACAGAAUUGCCUUCGAUACUGUAGAGCUUGAGACCGGAAGAGGUAAGUGGAACUGCGAGUGUAGAGGUGAAAUUCGUAGAUAGUUCGCAAGAACACCAGUGGCGAAGGCGGACUUACUGGUCCGG